ACAGUGGAAGCGCUAAAUCGAUUAAUAUCUUUGAGUGAUCGUAGAAGCAAGAUCAUGGAACAAAGCAAGGAAGAGGAUGAUAGUUUCUCCUUUAAGACUUGCAUGGAGAAAUUGUCCUCUAUGCCGGGAGUCAGUGAUGUGGAGGUAUGUGUUGCGGCCGAGGCAUUGAAAUCGCGUGAAAAUAGGAUUUUCUUCAUGACUAUGCGAUAAUCGGUUAUAGAUUGUUGGUUGAGUCUACGUAUGAAGGAAUUCCGUCAGCAGGAGUAGUUUCCAAGUUAUGCUCGAAGUUCUUGGACGGGUUGAUGUUUCAAAAGCUGAGAAUAUAUGUUCUGUAUGGACAUUAUCUAUAUAACAAAUGCUAGUGCAUUUGUUGUAUUUCAUGAAUUCUUGUAAAUGCAGUUUGUAAUGAACUAAUUGAUAUGUAUGUUCUGAACUUUUGAAUAAUGAAUUAUGCUUAUGUAACAACUACAAUUGGGUACUCUGAUAUGCAUUGUUUGUUGUGGAGUAUUUAAAUGGAUGGCACAAUUAUUUGAGAUGGGAAA